rnacentral:rRNA from 1 species
UGGGGAAUAUUGGACAAUGGGGGCAACCCUGAUCCAGCAAUGCCGCGUGUGUGAAGAAGGCCUGCGGGUUGUAAAGCACUUUCAGUAGGGACGAAACACUUGGGGGCUAAUAUCCUUCAGGCUUGACUUAACCUACAGAAGAAGCACCGGCUAACUCCGUGCCAGCAGCCGCGGUAAUACGGAGGGUGCGAGCGUUAAUCGGAAUUACUGGGCGUAAAGGGUGCGCAGGCGGCCCCGCAAGUCAGGCGUGAAAUCCCCGAGCUCAACUUGGGAAUGGCGCUUGAAACUACGGGGCUGGAGUGUGGCAGAGGGAGGUGGAAUUCCACGUGUAGCGGUGAAAUGCGUAGAUAUGUGGAGGAACACCGAUGGCGAAGGCAGCCUCCUGGGCCAACACUGACGCUCAUGCACGAAAGCGUGGGGAGCAAACAGGAUUAGAUACCCUGGUAGUCCACGCCCUAAACGAUGACGACUAGUUGUUGGAGGAGUUAAAUCCUUUAGUAACGAAGCUAACGCGCGAAGUCGUCCGCCUGGGGAGUACGGUCGCAAGAUUA